GUCGAGAUGUGACGCCAUGGGGAAGGAAGCCGGGAACUAUUCUCCGAUGAAGAGGCUGAUUUCCCUGGAGGGGAUGACUGCCAGCAUUACCAAGGUGGAGCUGAAGUGUGACUGCUCUACCUCCUGACCACCAGGCCAGCCUCAUGCUCCCACCACGUGGAUGGACUACGUCCCUCUAGAGCUCAUCACAAUCCGAGAUGGAACAGCACAGGCUGCACCUUCUAGAGGAGGUCGGAAGGUCCCACUGCAGCAGAGGCAUGUGGAUGGGAGGAUGCUCCUGAAGGCUUCAGAAGGAGCACACAAACCAUCAUUCAUCCCAACAGAGAUGCCAUUUCAAAACACAUGGCCACCACCUGGACUACAGAGAGGAAAAGAAAACUGUAAAUAAAAACUUGUCUGCAGAGUUGAGGAUGGGGUUCAGGAGGGAGAAUGCUUGCCUAGCAUUCACACAGCCCUGAGUUCAAUUCCCAGCACCACACAGAGUGGGUGACUCACACCUAUAAUCUCAGCACUUGAAAGAUACAAGCAGGAGGUCAGAAAUUCAAGAACAUCCAUAGCUACAUAAGGAGAUCUGGGCCAGUCUGGGCUACGCGAGACCUUGUCUCAGAAAGCAAGCAAACAACAGCAAUAACAAUUAAAUGUGCUUACAAGAGAUUUGGUUCCCAAGACAUAAAUCAAUAAAGUCACAAAUGGGAGUGAAUCGAGAACUAGAUUUAACUGUACCAUGAAUUCUGGUGGGCAGAAACCAACCCUUGACACCAUGCCUGAACAGACAAGGUCACAGUGACUUCUCCCAAACAAAAGAAAACAUUCGCUAUGACACUGUGGGCAUGGGCCACAUUCAACAAACAUUUUCCUUGCACUUUGCCCCUCAGAAUAAACAAACAAAAACACCAUUUUGCUGACCUGCUAUUUUUUAAAGAUUUCUUAAGCUUUUUUUGAAUUCUGUUGCUGUAUGUUCCUCAAAACCAAACAAACAUCUGACCCUCCUGAUUAUACAAAGAAAACAGGCCUGCGUUCUAGUCCUCUGGAUGCUCCUUCAACCUCCUCAUUAAGCCAGAGCUAAUAGCUAUUAAUCACCUAUGGGCUGCCAAAAAGCUGUUUGUGCUUCCUAAAUUAUAGCACUUUCCUUUUACAAGAUCAGAUAACUGUGUUAUUUGGCAUUUCAU